AGUGAACGCUGGCGGUAGGCCUAACACAUGCAAGUCGAACGGCAGCACAGUAAGAGCUUGCUCUUACGGGUGGCGAGUGGCGGACGGGUGAGGAAUACAUCGGAAUCUACUUUUUCGUGGGGGAUAACGUAGGGAAACUUACGCUAAUACCGCAUACGACCUACGGGUGAAAGCAGUGGAUCUUCGGACCUUGCGCGAUUGAAUGAGCCGAUGUCGGAUUAGCUAGUUGGCGGGGUAAAGGCCCACCAAGGCGACGAUCCGUAGCUGGUCUGAGAGGAUGAUCAGCCACACUGGAACUGAGACACGGUCCAGACUCCUACGGGAGGCAGCAGUGGGGAAUAUUGGACAAUGGGCGCAAGCCUGAUCCAGCCAUACCGCGUGGGUGAAGAAGGCCUUCGGGUUGUAAAGCCCUUUUGUUGGGAAAGAAAAGCAGCAGGUUAAUACCCCGCUGUUCUGACGGUACCCAAAGAAUAAGCACCGGCUGACUUCGUG
rnacentral:rRNA from 1 species